rnacentral:snRNA from 1 species
AGAUGUGACGGUGAUCUGGCUGUAACAUCUGUCACCCCCUUAAUCAUCAGGGUUGAUUUGGCUGAUCUGGCUGGCUGGGGGGUGUCCCCUUCUUCCCUCAGUAUUCCAUAUGCAUCCCUCACAAAACUGCACUCGGUUGAAGAGGAUGCCCACCUCCAAUAGAGGAGGACCAUUCCUCGGUCAAGGGUAUACAAGUAGCUGUGCUCCCCUGCUAGUACCUCCAAAAAGCUCUCAAAAAGACUGGAGUCUACCAUCUCCAGAGUUGAUUUAAAUAUCUGGAUGCAAUCAGUAUUCCAG